rnacentral:rRNA from 1 species
UACGUAGGGGGCUAGCGUUGUCCGGAUUUAUUGGGCGUAAAGAGCGUGUAGGCGGCCAUGUAGGUCCGGUGUGAAAACUCGAGGCUUAACCUCGAGAUGUCAUCGGAAACCAUUUGGCUAGAGUCCGGAAGAGGAAAGUGGAAUUCCUGGUGUAGCGGUGAAAUGCGUAGAUAUCAGGAAGAACACCCGUGGCGAAGGCGGUUCUCUAGUACGGUACUGACGCUCAGACGCGAAAGCGUGGGGAGCGAACAGG